rnacentral:rRNA from 1 species
CCCUUAGAUGUUCUGGGCUGCACGCGUGCUACACUGAUAUUGCCAAUAUGUCAUUCUUAUCCGAAAUGGAUUGGGUAAUCAAGUAAUGAAAUUUCAUGCUUGGAAUCGGUAAUUGCAAUUUUAUCAUGAACGAGGAAUUCCUAGUAAGCACUAGUCAUCAGCUAAUGUUGAUUAUGUCCCUGCCCUUUGUACACACCGCCCGUCGCUACUACUGAUUGGGUGUUCAAGUGAGAUGCUUAGACCCUUGUUGCAUGGUUCAUUAUUGUGCUCCGAAAGGAAAAAGUUUCAAGCUUGAGUGUCUAGAGGAAGUAAAAGUCGUAACA